GACGUAGGGCGCGAGCGUUGUCCGGAUUUAUUGGGCGUAAAGAGCUCGUAGGCGGUUUGGCAAGUCGGGUGUGAAAACUCCGGGCUCAACUCGGAGACGCCACUCGAUACUGCUAUGACUCGAGUCCGGUAGGGGAGUGCGGAAUUCCUGGUGUAGCGGUGAAAUGCGCAGAUAUCAGGAGGAACACCGGUGGCGAAGGCGGCACUCUGGGCCGGUACUGACGCUGAGGAGCGAAAGCGUGGGGAGCAAACAGG
rnacentral:rRNA from 1 species